UAUAUGUAUGUUUGGCAGGGUGUGCAGGGUUUCUUUGCAACUUUGGACCUGCUUGUUCCCCUCUGACGCACCUGUCUCACGUUGUAGAUGUGCAAAGUAUUUUUCUGUACU